UGUGAGCUCGAUGAGUAGGGCGGGACACGUGGUAUCCUGUCUGAAUAUGGGGGGACCAUCCUCCAAGGCUAAAUACUCCUGACUGACCGAUAGUGAACCAGUACCGUGAGGGAAAGGCGAAAAGAACCCCGGCGAGGGGAGUGAAAAAGAACCUGAAACCGUGUACGUACAAGCAGUGGGAGCACGCUUAGGCGUGUGACUGCGUACCUUUUGUAUAAUGGGUCAGCGACUUAUAUUCUGUAGCAAGGUUAACCGAAUAGGGGAGCCGAAGGGAAACCGAGUCUUAACUGGGCGUUAAGUUGCAGGGUAUAGACCCGAAACCCGGUGAUCUAGCCAUGGGCAGGUUGAAGGUUGGGUAACACUAACUGGAGGACCGAACCGACUAAUGUUGAAAAAUUAGCGGAUGACUUGUGGCUGGGGGUGAAAGGCCAAUCAAACCGGGAGAUAGCUGGUUCUCCCCGAAAGCUAUUUAGGUAGCGCCUCGUGAAUUCAUCUCCGGGGGUAGAGCACUGUUUCGGCAAGGGGGUCAUCCCGACUUACCAACCCGAUGCAAACUGCGAAUACCGGAGAAUGUUAUCACGGGAGACACACGGCGGGUGCUAACGUCCGUCGUGAAGAGGGAAACAACCCAGACCGCCAGCUAAGGUCCCAAAGUCAUGGUUAAGUGGGAAACGAUGUGGGAAGGCCCAGACAGCCAGGAUGUUGGCUUAGAAGCAGCCAUCAUUUAAAGAAAGCGUAAUAGCUCACUGGUCGAGUCGGCCUGCGCGGAAGAUGUAACGGGGCUAAACCAUGCACCGAAGCUGCGGCAGCGACGCUGAUGCGUUGUUGGGUAGGGGAGCGUUCUGUAAGCCUGCGAAGGUGUGCUGUGAGGCAUGCUGGAGGUAUCAGAAGUGCGAAUGCUGACAUAAGUAACGAUAAAGCGGGUGAAAAGCCCGCUCGCCGGAAGACCAAGGGUUCCUGUCCAACGUUAAUCGGGGCAGGGUGAGUCGACCCCUAAGGCGAGGCCGAAAGGCGUAGUCGAUGGGAAACAGGUUAAUAUUCCUGUACUUGGUGUUACUGCGAAGGGGGGACGGAGAAGGCUAUGUUGGCCGGGCGACGGUUGUCCCGGUUUAAGCGUGUAGGCUGGUUUUCCAGGCAAAUCCGGAAAAUCAAGGCUGAGGCGUGAUGACGAGGCACUACGGUGCUGAAGCAACAAAUGCCCUGCUUCCAGGAAAAGCCUCUAAGCAUCAGGUAACAUCAAAUCGUACCCCAAACCGACACAGGUGGUCAGGUAGAGAAUACCAAGGCGCUUGAGAGAACUCGGGUGAAGGAACUAGGCAAAAUGGUGCCGUAACUUCGGGAGAAGGCACGCUGAUAUGUAGGUGAAGCGACUUGCUCGUGGAGCUGAAAUCAGUCGAAGAUACCAGCUGGCUGCAACUGUUUAUUAAAAACACAGCACUGUGCAAACACGAAAGUGGACGUAUACGGUGUGACGCCUGCCCGGUGCCGGAAGGUUAAUUGAUGGGGUUAGCGCAAGCGAAGCUCUUGAUCGAAGCCCCGGUAAACGGCGGCCGUAACUAUAACGGUCCUAAGGUAGCGAAAUUCCUUGUCGGGUAAGUUCCGACCUGCACGAAUGGCGUAAUGAUGGCCAGGCUGUCUCCACCCGAGACUCAGUGAAAUUGAACUCGCUGUGAAGAUGCAGUGUACCCGCGGCAAGACGGAAAGACCCCGUGAACCUUUACUAUAGCUUGACACUGAACAUUGAGCCUUGAUGUGUAGGAUAGGUGGGAGGCUUUGAAGUGUGGACGCCAGUCUGCAUGGAGCCGACCUUGAAAUACCACCCUUUAAUGUUUGAUGUUCUAACGUUGACCCGUGAUCCGGGUUGCGGACAGUGUCUGGUGGGUAGUUUGACUGGGGCGGUCUCCUCCUAAAGAGUAACGGAGGAGCACGAAGGUUGGCUAAUCCUGGUCGGACAUCAGGAGGUUAGUGCAAUGGCAUAAGCCAGCUUGACUGCGAGCGUGACGGCGCGAGCAGGUGCGAAAGCAGGUCAUAGUGAUCCGGUGGUUCUGAAUGGAAGGGCCAUCGCUCAACGGAUAAAAGGUACUCCGGGGAUAACAGGCUGAUACCGCCCAAGAGUUCAUAUCGACGGCGGUGUUUGGCACCUCGAUGUCGGCUCAUCACAUCCUGGGGCUGAAGUAGGUCCCAAGGGUAUGGCUGUUCGCCAUUUAAAGUGGUACGCGAGCUGGGUUUAGAACGUCGUGAGACAGUUCGGUCCCUAUCUGCCGUGGGCGCUGGAGAACUGAGGGGGGCUGCUCCUAGUACGAGAGGACCGGAGUGGACGCAUCACUGGUGUUCGGGUUGUCAUGCCAAUGGCACUGCCCGGUAGCUAAAUGCGGAAGAGAUAAGUGCUGAAAGCAUCUAAGCACGAAACUUGCCCCGAGAUGAGUUCUCCCUGACUCCUUGA
rnacentral:rRNA from 1 species